CCCUUUUGAAAGGCACUCAUUGGGCCUUUCGCUAAUGACCCACUGAACCGUCAAGAAAAAGAGCAAAGUAAAAAUACCGAUUUGGGUGAAGUGGCAGCAUGUUCUGUAGUUUUGCUUCGGUCAGUGGUGUGACAAGG